GCAUCCGUAGCUCAGCUGGAUCGAGUACUCGGCUACGAACCGAGCGGUCGGAGGUU
rnacentral:tRNA from 1 species